AGGAAACUCUGAAGAAGUUGAUAGUCAGGCUGAACAAUGUCCAGGAAGGAAAACAGAUAGAAACGCUGGUCCAAAUCCUGGAGGAUCUGCUGGUGUUCACGUACUCCGAGCGCGCCUCCAAGUUAUUUCAAGGCAAAAAUAUCCAUGUGCCUCUGUUGAUCGUCUUGGACUCCUAUAUGAGAGUCGCGAGUGUGCAGCAGGUGGGUUGGUCACUUCUGUGCAAAUUAAUAGAAGUCUGUCCAGGUACAAUGCAAAGCUUAAUGGGACCCCAGGAUGUUGGAAAUGAUUGGGAAGUCCUUGGUGUUCACCAAUUGAUUCUUAAAAUGCUAACAGUUCAUAAUGCCAGUGUAAACUUGUCAGUGAUUGGACUGAAGACCUUAGAUCUCCUCCUAACUUCAGGUAAAAUCACCUUGCUGAUAUUGGAUGAAGAAAGUGAUAUUUUCAUGUUAAUUUUUGAUGCCAUGCACUCAUUUCCAGCCAAUGAUGAAGUCCAGAAACUUGGAUGCAAAGCUUUACAUGUGCUGUUUGAGAGAGUCUCAGAGGAGCAACUGACUGAAUUUGUUGAGAACAAAGAUUAUAUGAUAUUGUUAAGUGCGUUAACAAAUUUUAAAGAUGAAGAGGAAAUUGUGCUUCAUGUGCUGCAUUGUUUACAUUCCCUAGCGAUUCCUUGCAAUAAUGUGGAAGUCCUCAUGAGUGGCAAUGUCAGGUGUUAUAAUAUUGUGGUGGAAGCUAUGAAAGCAUUCCCUAUGAGUGAAAGAAUUCAAGAAGUGAGUUGCUGUUUGCUCCAUAGGCUUACAUUAGGUGAGUUUCUUAGUUAAUAUGUCAUCACACACUGUAUGAUAUACAUAUACAUAUAAAACAUAUAUAUGUUGCAUAAUAAUGGAUAAGUAGCAUAUUGACAUACUU
rnacentral:lncRNA from 1 species